rnacentral:rRNA from 1 species
AAGAGACAGCAGUAGCCGCGGUAAUACAGAGGGUGCGAGCGUUAAUCGGAUUUACUGGGCGUAAAGCGUGCGUAGGCGGCUAAUUGAGUCGGAUGUGAAAUCCCCGAGCUUAACUUGGGAAUUGCAUUCGAUACUGGUUAGCUAGAGUGUGGGAGAGGAUGGUAGAUUUCCAGGUGUAGCGGUGAAAUGCGUAGAGAUCUGGAGGAAUACCGAUGGCGAAGGCAGCCAUCUGGCCUAACACUGACGCUGAGGUACGAAAGCAUGGGGAGCAAACAGGAUUAGAUACCCGAGUAGUCCCUGUCUCUUAUAC